UCCUUUUCCGUUUGUGCAAGCGUGAAAUCUCGAGCGCUGUUAUAUUCGUGCAAAAAUUUUACAAAUUGCCCUUACGAGGAAUGAGAAAUUAACUUUUUACAUGGCAAUUCGUCUCGGACUGUGGAGUUAUUAAAAAGUUUCCCACGAUUUAUAAGUGGCGAACCUUUAGAUGUAGUCCUUUGCUGCUGCCAGUGAGCUCACUCCAAGCGGCACUGGAUCUUUGCUCGCAAUGAUCUACGUAGUCCAUUUCGACCAGGUCUAUCAUAGAAACCAGCCAUCUUCGAUCGUCGUCACUUGAAGACGUUCCUCGAAGAGUAGGACACGACGCAAGUAGUAAGAAGAAAACGGGGAGAGUGAACGUCCCCAUUGUGAACCUGAAAUAAAGAAAUCACGGUUUACGGAGAUCCGGAUUUUAAGCGGCCUACAUUCAACCUAAAUAUUAUGUAUUAUUCAUUAAAACUCACAUUCUAGAAGUAAUCAUUGCAAAAUUUAUUUUAAAUACAUAAAUAAUCGUUUAACUUUA